GGCUUUUUCUGAAGGUAGUGAGUUAUCUCACUUGAUUGUACACAGUUACAGACUGAACUUGUUAUACUACUUUCCCCCUCCUCUCGCCACUGCACUUGACUAGUCCAAA
rnacentral:Y_RNA from 1 species